AGAGGUUGAAAAUACUCGAAAGAAGAUGCAAAGGCUGUCGUGGUACAGAUUUUGAGUGUGGUUGCCUACUGUCAUCUCCAAGGUGUAGUUCAUCGUGACCUCAAGCCUGAGCCGGGAAUGGUAACAACUGAUCUUCUGUUGUCUGGAGCUUCUACAAAGCAGAUCUGUCCCUGCCAAUGGAUUGAGCAAGCCCACUUGCAUUCGUUUCCUUACUGGCUUGAAAGCAUACUCUUAGAUAUUCUCAGUUAAGUGGAAAAAAAAAAUGAAAAGAACUUUUGAUUCUUGGUUUUCUAUAUUUAAAUUGUGGUUAUUAAUCCUUUUGUUUUUUGGCCGUAUUGUGUAGAGAUUUGGUUUUGGUGCUAGGAGGAAUCGAUAUUUGCUUGAAGAUUGAUGAGGAUCAGAGGUCUAAUAUGUCCAUACAACAUAUUUUCUUUCACAUAAAAUUUGCUGCUGCUCUCUCUCUCUCUAGCUUUUGUGGUCAAGAUUUGCAUUAAAUCAUUGGCCUAGCUGUUUCUAUACAUGUGUAGCAAACUCAAAUGUUUUGGAGACUGUCUCUACAAUGCCUUACAAUUAUUUGCUUAUUAUUG